ACUAUUUUGGCAGAUUAAAGUGCAUUAAAUUUAGAAUUUAAUUAUAUAAUAUGGUUAUUAUAAGUAGUA
rnacentral:tRNA from 2 species